rnacentral:rRNA from 1 species
UCGUACGAGAGUUUUAAACUCAAGUGGCGGACGGGUGAGUAACACGUAAGAAUUUACCUUUAGGAGGGGGACAACAGCUGGAAACGGUUGCUAAUACCCCAUAUGCUUUCGAGUGAAAUGGAUUUUUCCGCCUAGAGAGAAGCUUGCGGCUGAUUAGCUUGUUGGUAAGGUAAUGGCUUACCAAGGCGACGAUCAGUAUCUGGUUUGAGAGGACGAUCAGACACACUGGAACUGAGACACGGUCCAGACUCCUACGGGAGGCAGCAGUGGGGAAUUUUCCGCAUUGGGCGCAAGCCUGACGGAGCAAUCUCGCGUGAGGGAUGACUGCCUAUGGGUUGUAAACCUCUUUUUUCAGGGAGGAGUUAAUGACGUGUACCUGAAGAAUAAGCAUCGGCUAACUCCGUGCCAGCAGCCGCGGUAAGACGGAGGAUGCAAGUGUUAUCCGGAAUCACUGGGCGUAAAGCGUCUGUAGGUGGUUUAAUAAGUCAACUGUUAAAUCUUGAAGCUCAACUUCAAAAUCGCAGUCGAAACUAUUAGACUAGAGUAUAGUAGGGGUAAAGGGAAUUUCCAGUGGAGCGGUGAAAUGCGUAGAGAUUGGAAAGAACACCGAUGGCGAAGGCACUUUACUGGGCUAUUACUGACACUCAGAGACGAAAGCUAGGGUAGCAAAUGGGAUAGAUACCCCAGUAGUCCUAGCCGUAAACAAUGGAUACUAGAUGUUGAACAGAUCGACCUGGCAGUAUCAAAGCUAACGCGUUA